GAUGAACGCUGGCGGCGUGCCUAAUACAUGCAAGUCGAGCGAACAGACGAGGAGCUUGCUCCUCUGACGUUAGCGGCGGACGGGUGAGUAACACGUGGAUAACCUACCUAUAAGACUGGGAUAACUUCGGGAAACCGGAGCUAAUACCGGAUAAUGUAUUGAACCGCAUGGUUCAAUAGUGAAAGACGGUUUUGCUGUCACCUAUAGAUGGAUCCGCGCCGCAUUAGCUAGUUGGUAAGGUAACGGCUUACCAAGGCAACGAUGCGUAGCCGACCUGAGAGGGUGAUCGGCCACACUGGAACUGAGACACGGUCCAGACUCCUACGGGAGGCAGCAGUAGGGAAUCUUCCGCAAUGGGCGAAAGCCUGACGGAGCAACGCCGCGUGAGUGAUGAAGGUCUUCGGAUCGUAAAACUCUGUUAUUAGGGAAGAACAAAUGUGUAAGUAACUAUGCACGUCUUGACGGUACCUAAUCAGAAAGCCACGGCUAACUACGUG
rnacentral:rRNA from 1 species